rnacentral:rRNA from 1 species
GAAACAUCUCAGUACCCACAGGAAAAGAAAACAACAGUGAUUCCGUGAGUAGUGGCGAGCGAAAGCGGAUGAGGCUAAACCGGGCGUGUGUGAUAGCUGUCAGGCGUUGCAUGUCCGGGGUCGUGGGACCUUUCGGUCGGGACUGACAUCCCGGCGAGGAGUAAGAAAUCUGCGUCAUAGUCGAAGAGUCUUGAAUGGCUCGGCAUAGAGGGUGCGACCCCCGUAGACGAAAUGGUGUGGACUCCUGAGAGGUAUCCCAAGUAGCACGGGGCCCGUGAAAUCCCGUGUGAAUCUGCCAGGACCACCUGGUAAGGCUGAAUACUUCCUGGUGACCGAUAGCGGACGAGUACCGUGAGGGAAUGGUG